rnacentral:rRNA from 1 species
GGAUCAUUAUCAUGUAAUCCAGUCAUGCUUUGCUGCCUGAGCUGAAUAUAAUACCCACCCUGCGUACGCUGUCCUGUUGCUUCCCGCUGGGUCCAGAGAGCACAUCUCGGCGGCACGUCCGUCCGGCAGAAGUCGGUUUCGCGGGUGCCCCCGAGAGCGGCUGCGCUGGAUUCAUCGUAUGCCCGGCGGGGAGGGAAAUGAUAACCUCGGAUCGCUUAAGAAUCUGUCUGAACAAGAGCAAAACAGUGAAAAGUUAAAACUUUCAGCAACGGAUCUCUUGGUUCUCGCAUCGAUGAAGAACGCAGCGAAAUGCGAUAAGUAGUGUGAAUUGCAGAAUUUAGUGAACCAUCGAAUCUUUGAACGCACAUUGCGCCUUCUGGUAUUCCGGGAGGCAUGCCUGUUCGAGAGUCAUUUACAACCAUCUCGAAUCCCCUGUUUUGUUGGCGCGGGGGAGUCGGUUCUGGUAGUUGGAGGGGUGCCCGACGUUCCCUCUGUACCGAAAUCCUUAGGCGGUCCGUGAUUGUCAACCCACAGGUUUCAUGGCGUGGUAAAGGAGAGGCGACUUCUCAAUUGAGGUGUGCCGCUUUUCGCCUGCAACUAUUUUGGGAACGGCACCGACUUGCCUUCGAAAAUCUAGUAAUCUUUAUUAUUUAUGAGAAUCAAAAGGUUGACCUCGGAUCAGGUAGGGAUACCCGCUGAACUUAA